rnacentral:tRNA from 1 species
CGUUCGAUAGCUCAGUUGGAUAGAGCAGCCAUUUUCGGAUGGCCUGUCGCGGGUUCGAUUCCCGCUCGAACAC